rnacentral:rRNA from 1 species
AGGGUUCGAUUCUGGCUCAGGAUGAACGCUAGCGGCAGGCCUAACACAUGCAAGUCGAGGGGCAGCAUUUGUGUAGCAAUACACAAGAUGGCGACCGGCGCACGGGUGCGUAACGCGUAUGUAACCUACCUUAAACAGGGGGAUAACACUGAGAAAUCGGUACUAAUACCCCAUAACACUUCGAGAGGCAUCUCUUGGAGUUGAAAGUUCCGGCGGUUUAAGAUGGACAUGCGUUGUAUUAGCUAGUUGGUGAGGUAACGGCUCACCAAGGCAACGAUACAUAGGGGGACUGAGAGGUUAACCCCCCACAUUGGUACUGAGACACGGACCAA